AACGAACGCUGGCGGCAGGCUUAACACAUGCAAGUCGAACGCCCCGCAAGGGGAGUGGCAGACGGGUGAGUAACGCGUGGGAAUCUACCCAUCUCUGCGGAGUAGCUCUGGGAAACUGGAAUUAAUACCGCAUACGCCCUACGGGGGAAAGAUUUAUCGGGGAUGGAUGAGCCCGCGUUGGAUUAGCUAGUUGGUGGGGUAAAGGCCUACCAAGGCGACGAUCCAUAGCUGGUCUGAGAGGAUGAUCAGCCACAUUGGGACUGAGACACGGCCCAAACUCCUACGGGAGGCAGCAGUGGGGAAUAUUGGACAAUGGGCGCAAGCCUGGUCCAGCCAUGCCGCGUGAGUGAUGAAGGCCUUAGGGUUGUAAAGCUCUUUCACCGAUGAAGAUAAUGACGGUAGUCGGAGAAGAAGCCCCGGCUAACUUCGUGCCAGCCGCCGCGGUAA
rnacentral:rRNA from 1 species